rnacentral:rRNA from 1 species
UACGUAGGGGGCAAGCGUUGUCCGGAAUCAUUGGGCGUAAAGAGCGUGUAGGCGGCCAGAUAAGUCCGCUGUGAAAUCUCGAGGCUCAACUUCGAGCUGUCGGUGGAAACUGUCUGGCUAGAGUCCGGAAGAGGAGAAUGGAAUUCCUGGUGUAGCGGUGAAAUGCGCAGAUAUCAGGAAGAACACCCGUGGCGAAAGCGGCUCUCUGGGACGGUACUGACGCUGAGACGCGAAAGCGUGGGGAGCGAACAGG